AUUGAACGCUGGCGGCAGGCCUAACACAUGCAAGUCGAGCGAGCGGCGGACGGGUGAGUAAUGUAUGGGGACUGCCCGAUAGAGGGGGAUAACUACUGGAAACGGUGGCUAAUACCGCAUACUAUCGGAUAACCCAUAUGGGAUUAGCUAGUAGGUGGGGUAAAGGCUCACCUAGGCGACGAUCUCUAGCUGGUCUGAGAGGAUGAUCCGCCCCACUGGGUAUGAGAAACGGCCCCAGAUCCUACGGGGGGAGGCAGUGGGAAUAUUGGACCAUGGGCGCAAGCCUGAUGCAGCCAUGCCGCGUGUAUGAAGAAGGCCUUAGGGUUGUAAAGUACUUUCAGCGGGGAGGCGUUACCCGCAGAAGAAGCACCGGCUAACUCCGUGCCAGCAGCCGCGGUAAUAC
rnacentral:rRNA from 1 species